GUGCCAGCAGCCGCGGUAAUACGUAGGGUGCAAGCGUUGUCCGGAAUCAUUGGGCGUAAAGCGCGCGUAGGUGGUCAUGUAAGUCCGCUGUGAAAGUCAAAGGCUCAACCUUUGAAAGCCGGUGGAUACUGCAUGACUAGAGUACGGAAGAGGCGAGUGGAAUUCCUGGUGUAGCGGUGGAAUGCGCAGAUAUCAGGAGGAACACCAAUAGCGAAGGCAGCUCGCUGGGACGUUACUGACACUGAGGCGCGAAAGCGUGGGGAGCGAACAGGAUUAGAUACCCCCGUAGUCC
rnacentral:rRNA from 1 species